UACGAAGGGGGCUAGCGUUGCUCGGAAUCACUGGGCGUAAAGGGCGCGUAGGCGGCCGAUCAAGUCAGAUGUGAAAGUCCUGGGCUUAACCUGGGGACUGCAUUUGAUACUGAUUGGCUUGAAUUCGGGGGAGGAUAGCGGAAUUCCCAGUGUAGAGGUGAAAUUCGUAGAUAUUGGGAAGAACACCGGUGGCGAAGGCGGCUAUCUGGACCGACAUUGACGCUGAUGCGCGAAAGCGUGGGGAGCAAACAGG
rnacentral:rRNA from 1 species